rnacentral:rRNA from 1 species
UGGUGGAGUGAUUUGUCUGGUUAAUUUCGAUAACGAGCGAGACCUCAGCCUACUAAUUAGAUGUGAGAAUCUUCGGAUUCUUGGGAAAACAUCUUCUUAGAGGGACUAUCGGUGCGUAGCCGAUGGAAGGUUGAGGCAAUAACA